AUUGAACGCUGGCGGCAGGCCUAUCACAUGCAAGUCGAACGAGUGGCGGACGGGUGAGUAAUGUCUGGGAAACUUCCUGAUGGAGGGGGGUAACUACUGGAAACGGUAUCUAAUACCGCCUACCAUCAGCUGUGCCCAGAUGGGAUUAGCUUGUUUGUGGGGUAACGGCUCACCAAGGCGACGAUGCGUAGCUCGUAUGAGAGGAUGACCAGCAACACUGGAAAUGAGACACGGUCCAGACGCCGACGGGAGGCAGCAGUGGGGAAUAUUGCACAAUGGGCGCAAGCCUGAUGCAGCCAUGCCGCGUGUAUGAAGAAGGCCUUCGGGUUGUAAAGUACCUUCAGCGGGGAGGCGUUACCCGCAGAAGAAGCACCGGCUAACUCCGUGCCAGCAGCCGCGGUAAUAC
rnacentral:rRNA from 1 species